rnacentral:rRNA from 1 species
GACGUAGGGUGCGAGCGUUGUCCGGAUUUAUUGGGCGUAAAGAGCUCGUAGGCGGCUCGUCGCGUCGACCGUGAAAACCCGCAGCUUAACUGCGGGCUUGCGGUUGAUACGGGCGGGCUAGAGUUCGGUAGGGGAGACUGGAAUUCCUGGUGUAGCGGUGAAAUGCGCAGAUAUCAGGAGGAACACCGGUGGCGAAGGCGGGUCUCUGGGCCACUACUGACGCUGAGAAGCGAAAGCAUGGGGAGCGAACAGG